ACAGUGGACGCGAGCAUCUGUGGCCAAGUUUUUAAGGGCGCACGGUGGAUGCCUUGGCACCAGGAACCGAUGAAGGACG
rnacentral:rRNA from 1 species